GCCUUAGUAGUUUAAACAAAAACAAUGAUUUUGUAAGUCAUAAUUAGGUUAUACCUCUAAGGCU
rnacentral:tRNA from 1 species